rnacentral:rRNA from 1 species
AACGCUGGCGGCGCGCCUAACACAUGCAAGUCGAGCGAGAACCGGGCCUUCGGGCCCGGGGACAGCGGCGAACGGGUGAGUGACACGUGGGCAACCUGCCCUCGGCACUGGGAUAGCCCGGGGAAGCCCGGAUUAAUACCGGAUAGCCUCCGGAGCCUUCGGGCGCCGGAAGAAAGGUGGCUUCGGCAUCCGGCCGAGGAGGGGCCCGCGGCGGAUUAGCUUGUUGGUGGGGUAAUGGCCCACCAAGGCGACGAUCCGUAGCUGGUCUGAGAGGACGAUCAGCAACACUGGGACUGAGACACGGCCCAGACUCCUACGGGAGGCAGCAGUGGGGAAUCUUGCGCAAUGGGCGAAAGCCUGACGCAGCGACGCCGCGUGCGGGAAGAAGGCCUUCGGGUUGUAAACCGCUUUCAGGAGGGACGAAGCCACUCGGGUGAACAGCCCAGAGGGUGACGGUACCUCCAGAAGAAGCCCCGGCUAACUACGUGCCAGCCGCCGCCGUAAUAC